GCGCGUUUUUUAACGAAAUGCCUUACGAAUCGCAUUUUCGCAUAGUGAGUAGCGGGCUUUAAACGUUAUACCUAAAUACGUAUUGUCGAGCAACUUCGCCAGGCCCAAUGAAAUAUUACCGAAGUAGGUUAAGCAUCUCUUAAUAAUAUUUUAGUUUUGAUUGUUUGUAAACAUUACCAAAGAUUGUAUAUAGAGACAAAGAAAAGUCAAAAUGUUGUAUACAAGAGUUGUAAGUUAAAUAUUUUUGCAUAUAGUUUUAAAAUACUUGUAGAGACUAUGUCUCUUAUAUUUUUUAAAACAAUUUGGGCUUAAUUUUCUUGCGAGAGUUUUAGGUGAAUUAAAAAAUCCAAAGAAAAUUAUUACAAAAAAAUUAUUAACUUGACAUUAUUUUUAUGACUGAAUCUCUCUUUGUCUUAAUGUCUUGUUGAAAUGGUAAGCGAAUUACACUGGGUGGUCUAAGGCUGUUAGAGAUAUCACAAGAUCGAUCCGACUGUCAAUUUCUGUCAGAUCCCUGCUACCUGAUUUUUUUUUUGUUCUCUCGAACAGUUUUGGACGCGAAUAAUACACUUCCAGUUUUAGAAAUCUUACUUUUUAUUGUUAAAUACUGUACAUACACUGUUUAACAUAGUCGAUGGCACAUUAUUUAUAAAAAUAUGAGCACAACGGUACCUACGAUUUAAAUUACCAUGUCCAAAGGAAGACUUAAAAGAUACAGGGCAAAUCAAUGUAAUUAAGUCCAUACAAAAUUUACAUUCGAAGUCUACUCAGUAUAAUUAGGCGUAAAGUUUAUACAAUAUUUUACAAUUCGCUUUAGGGGUACGCUCAUACCUAUCCUAUAAGUAGGGACUAUCAAUAUACAAGUCCUGAAAAAUAAUAAUACAGCUUAAAACUGUAUCAGUUUGGAGUUAUCCUAAUUAUGAAAUAAAGAUUAUAAGUACAGCUGUAGUUCAUUUGCCAUUAUCAUUUAAUGAGAGAACUUAUCUGAUAUGUGAGAUUUUACAAUUUCGUCUAAUGUAAAAUUUAUUUAGCUUAAAUAUCGAUAUAUGAAUAUCACGUGUUUUUUUGUUGAUAAAAAAUUACAUUUUUAAACCGUAAAAUAAAAAGUCAGAAAUCUCCGUUCAAGAUUACCCGAUAUUUAAAACCUUACUUUUAUAAAGGAGACUACCAAAAAUAUGUGAAUUUAAAAAAACAACGUAGCAAAUGGCACAGUAUCGAUUCUAUCAGUCUUGGCCUACAACUAGAGGAUAUACAAUACGACCUUAUAGUUUAACAGCUAUUUUUAGAAGAUAUACAGUUUUUUUCUCUAAAAAUAGGAUUUUACUGCUGCGAAGUUUUAAUUAAACUUGAGAUAGCUGGCUGAUCCGAACGUAUGGUGGUCUAUUGUGGUGCUUAAGUAUUACUUAAACGACUAUGGAUGCGUGUGGUUAAAAUUUAUCAUCGAAUAUAUCUACUAAUACAAAAGCCCUAAAUACACGUAAUGAUAAUUUUCAGGUAGUUUUUGCCUCCCAUAAUUGCCUACUGUUUUUGCGCGAUAUUAGUAAUGCGGCAGUUCUAUUUCUGUUUGCAAUUACAGGUUAUUCAAUUGAUAACAAUAUGCUAUCGUUUUUGUGCCAUUUUACGUAUAUUAUGAACCGCUUUUGUUUAUUUAAAAGCGAGUGGUUUAUAGAAAAUAUUUAUCAGUUAGUCUAGCUAGGUAUGGAAAUACUAUCAACAAUAGGUAAACUGGGGCUGAAGUAUCUUAAAGGGUAUUGAUUUCAUCAUUUGAAAUAUACUCAGUUCCUACAACAUGUUGCCAGGCUCGCUGCGGCUGGAUCCGUGGUAAACCGACUUGUGAGGAGUGAAGCUGCUUAAAGAUGGCGCGCCGUUCCUCCAGGACAGGCUCGGAGGUCCUACCCGGGCGUACGCCGGCUGGCCAGACGGCGAUACCAAAUCUGGCGGGUGUUCCUGGGAAAACUUCUUCUGAUCCUUCUUGCUGCGUUUCAAGUAUCCGCCGUUGGAUGCCGGAUAAGGAGAUUCAUCGCCGUCGUUCAUCGAAUAAUGGUUCCAUAUCUACGGCAAUCAAAAAUAUACAGAUUAAUACAAGUACUAAAUGAAGGCCCCCGGUAAAUCAACAAUAAAAAUAUUUAAGGGAACACGAACGAGAAAGCAUUGCAAUAAAAAACUAGCAUUCAAUAAUUUGAUUUUUAACUCAUAUAUCGAAAGCAAGGAUUCUUGAAGACUAAUAAUUUUUGAAUAAUAAAUUUUUGAAUAAAUAGAUAAAGUCAAGCGGCUGCAAUGAUUUUAUAUUAGUAAAUUACUAGCAUUUCAGAUAAUAUAAUGUAUAAUAUUUCUUUUUCAGAUCUAAACUCAAUUGACCUUCUAAAUUUAAAUAACAAUCACAGUUAUUGUGACAAAAAUUUCCAUCAUUUUAACUUUAAAAAAUUUGUCUUGCUUAGAUAUCUUCUGCUUAUCGCCUGCUUAGUCUCCAGUAUGCAGAAGUGAUUCAACAUUUCAAAAAAGGCAGUAAAUAUGAUGUAAACAACUGCCGUCCUAUUUCAAUAUUGCCUAUUUUUGGCAAUUUUGAAAUUAUAAUGAAAGGAGUUCCUGUUAGACUACUACUUGCAAAAAAUUUAAUUUUUUGCUAAUGACCAGUGGUUUUUUUAUACAGAAAGUGAACUAUAAAAACGAUGAGUGCGAUUGUUUAGGACACAUAGCUUGUUAUUGAAAAAGUUGUCUACUAUUGGUUUAUCAGAGUCCGUCAUAUCUUGCUUCGAAUCGUAUUUUACUGAUCGUCAUCAAAGAGUAAGCGUAGAUGGUUGUACCUCUUCUUUUUUAGCCCAGCAUCACGGUGUUCCGCAAGGAUCGGUUUUGGGCCCGCUUAUAUAAAUUAUCUUCCAUAAUUUAUUAAGCCCAUCCAGUGUACACUGCUAAAGUUCGUCUCUAGACGAGUCAUAUUGCUAAGGAGCGGAAGCGAAAUUGGUUUGCAGAAAAUGACUUGCUUUUGAACCCAAAUAAAAUGUUUUACUUUUCUCUAAUGUUAGUAUUCGAAAGAUACGAGCGUAUGGGAUGGAUCUAGUUAUGCAGUCAGGAUUUCGUCUUAAAAAAAAUUCCUGUAAUUCUUCUAGACUUUACAUUUCACUUUCGUAUACAAUAGCCCAAUGAAUAUUCAAUCUAAUAAAUCAAGUUAUUCUGUUCAGUUUGAAACACAUUACUACACAACGCGUAAUGCAUAAUAUAUUAUAAUAUAAUAAUGAUAACGUCUUAAUAAACAAUUACAAAUUCUUUAAACCUCAGCUUUUACAAUUAAUUAUCUUGUCAUAUAAAACGCCUUGGUAACAAUUUUUUUAAGAGAGCUGUCAAGCGUCUACUAAAAAUAAAAUGUUUUCACAGUACUGUGUAUGUGGUGUUUUAUAUUUUUAUUCUUAUAUUGCUUUGUUAUCCUUAUAUGGAUUUUUUAUUCUGUUUUGACCUGCUACAAAUAUAUUAUACUGAAAUAAACCCAAACCUAAACCUAUGGCCUUUUAUGUCUAAAACACACCCCAAACAUAUCUCAUUUACACAGAAGAAAAAGAAAAAGAAACCAACCGGCGGUAGGAAUGAAGAAGAAUAGAAUUCUAUAACCUAAAUGUGUCAAUAGUUAAUAGAACUAGCUAGUCGCCAACCUAUAAAAUGUAAAGGCUUCUACAAAUUCAAAUUUUUUUGAGUUUUAAGUUCUUUUAACCAUAUUCUAGGUUAGAAUUAACAUAUUGAGAUGCAGUUUUCACUGGGUUAGUUGCGUGAUGUGGGUACUCGUAUGGGUCAUGACCAGUAUAAUAACAUUCUGUAUGGCGACAGAUGGUGGAUAAUAUAUGAGCAGUUCUAGAGUAGUGACUUUUAUAUAUGCAGUUGGUCUUGCAGUGCUGUUGUUGGUCACUGGCAUCAGAGUAGGUUCUCUAAAUAUGGACUAAGUGGAUGACAUAGACAACCCUGAUUUUUUUCAAUGACAACAAGGAACUUAACGAAAUCUGGUCUCUGCACCUGCAUAACGUCGGUAGUUCUUAAGCAGGUUUACUCGGUGGCGACCAUUUUGUGAUUUUAUCGAAUACACCUUCAUCGCAAAAGCAAAAAGUUUCCUCUAAACAAACUUGGGAUAGGGAAGCAACGAAAAAUGCUAUUCUUGGCGUUAAAGAGAAUAGAAUGGGGCAUCUAAAAGCUGCAAGAUCCUUUAAUGUUUCAAAAUUGUCAUUCAUUCGUUUAUCUAAAAACAGAGAUUUACUUCUAGGGCAACUUGCACGGAGAGCCGUUUUACCAGAAGAUGUUGAAGCAAAGUUGGUAAAUUACAUUCUUACUGGAGCAAACUGAGUAUGGUUUGAGUAGACGCACCAUUAAGUUAAUUGCUUAUCAAGUGCCAGUACGUAUCAAUUUAAGCAACCCUUUAUCCUUUCGCCAUACAACACGAACCUCGAUUUCGUGAUUAAAAGGUUUUAAUCUGCCUGAAUGAAUAUUUACAAUAUCGCUGAAACCGGGAUGUCGGUGUUACCUAAUCAGAUGCCACAAAUUUUACCUCUACCUGCAGUCACUUCUGCGGAACGGAGUUAAACAAGUGACGUGCAUAAUUUUUAAGAAUGCAGGUGGGUCGUUUGUUCCUACAAUGAUGAUAUUUCCUUGAUAGUAAGAUCAUCAACUGAUAAUGAAUGGUGCUUCAGCUGGAUCAAUACACGCUUGGCAUCCAUCAGGUUGGAUACAGACAGAGCUUUUCGCUGAAUGGUUUAAACACUUUUUAGAAAUUGUCAAACCUUUAUCUACUUCUCCUGCGCUUCUGAUAUUAGAUGAAGCACACAAAUCGUACCCGUAAUAUCCCGUAAUUGAUUUGGCACAAAAAAAGAAUGUUCGCUUACUGUCAAUACCGCCGCCACACUCCAGCCCUAAAAUGGGCCCUUUAAAAAAAUAUAUGGCUGAUGAAAUCCGUGUAUGGAUGCUAGUUAAUGCUAUAGCUAUCCCUCAUUACGACAUAGCAAGUUUUUUUUUGGAAGUCCAUAUGUUCAAAAUCAGUGUGCAGAAUUCAGUGGCUUGCGAACAACAGUGGUUUAUCUGCUUAAUCCACACACAUCUUUUUGAUGCUCAUGAUUUUAUUGAAGGUACAGCAACAGUAGUACCAAACAAAAUCAGACAAAUCAAGAUGUUUAUUCCAAAUCUACUUCCAAGUCCUUCAACUGCUUCAACAGGGAAAGAAAAGCUAGUAAGGCUGCUUUUUUGACAUCUUCGCCUUACAAACUAUAAUUAUAAUUCCUUUAAGAGGAAAAAGAAAUAAAUCCCAAAAGAAAUAAAAGAGGAAAAGAAAUUUUGGAGAUAAAGUCACCUAAGAAGAGAAAACAAAUAACUGGCGGAGAAAAUAUAUUAUAUAAAUAAUAACUGGCGAGUUUUAUAGUAGCCGUCAAUGUUAUAAGCCAAAAAUAAGUUUUGAUUUAUGUUAUGAUUGUUAUUACAGUAGGUUUUACAAAAGCAGAAUAUUUUAUUUGAUCAUUUCGGUCCAUAUUAAAUACUAGUCAUCCGUAUUACCAUACCUUUUUAAAAAAUGUUUUAAUAUUUCUCUGAAAAUUAAUUUUUAUUCAUUUCGUUAAGUUUUGGUUAGUGACUGGAAUAAAAAACUAACUCUCAUUCUUUCUUUACUUUUAUUUAAAAAAAGUCCUUACAGUAGUCCAUAUUUAGAGAACCUACUCUGCCAUUGUCAUUCGAUGUUUCACACCCGCUUGUGGUUUAUUUUGGUUUAAUAACAAAAAAUUGCCCCUGGACCUGGGCAAAGCCAGGAUAAGUUGAACCAAUGGUUUUCAAAUACUUUUUAUAUUAAACGUCAAUUUUUGUACCUAUUCUGCUUUUUCGACUUAUCUUCAAAGUUUUCCUGAUUAACUUUAAAUUUUGCGCCCAAAUGUACUAAGUAGGCGAUUUUUUAAUUGUGACCCUUCCCUGCCAAGAUACCUGGAGUGCUGAAAAUAUUGAAGAGUUCUUCUGUUUUCUAUGAUCAGUUUUGACUAUGUUAUAAAUAUUUUUCAAUAUUUCAUUUCAAUAUAUAUUUUUUUCAAUUAUAAUUGAAAUGGAAUCUUUUCAUCAUAUCACCUUGCCGAUUUAAAAUGAAACCGAAAUCAGAUUAUGGAAAAUAAAGGAUUUGUUAACAAAGAAAAGUAGCUCUCAGUUGACACGUGUCGAAUGUGGAUUACUACAAUUAGCACGUAAGAAAAACAUUUUGCUUAUCUAAUCGAUUUAAUAUUUGGCUUACACACCUUUAAGCAAGCCAGUUGUGAAUUAUCACUACAUAGUGACAUACUCAGUAAGCGCUCAACCUUCCCGAUAUUCAAUUCGCCGUUUAUAAAUUAGGUUGCCACCUAGCAACGGGGGUCAUUAUCUGUUUUAAUUCAAAUUGAAAAUUAUAUCUUUAUAUAUACUUAUACAUUAUAUUACUUAUAUAUAAGGUUGUUCGGAAAGUCAUUUCGUUUUUUCCCGUCAGAGGACUUAAUUACGUUUUUU